GUUUGUGGUCCCAGUCAUUAAAGGCCCUUGAAAUUUUAAAUCACGUUUCACUUUUUAGAUGGAAAACCAUUGGGUGGUUAAUAUUUAUAGGGACCAUGGUUUGAUUUUGAUUGCAGAACAACUUGCCAAUUAUGAGAAUACAAUCAUGAAUUAUUACAUUUAAACAUCUUGUGUCAGAAGAUAUAUUUAGCAAUUUUUCUAUGGCUGAGAUUUACAAAGACCGAUGACAGGUUGGGAAAAUUUUUUACCCUUACUAACUAUGUUCUAGGGUGGCCAGAACAUGACUCAAAUUGGGACAUCUUUUCAAUGGAUGGUAAUAUGGUAUCAAUAAAUGAAAAUCAAGGCAGGUUCGAAUUUGGGGCCA
rnacentral:misc_RNA from 1 species